rnacentral:rRNA from 1 species
GGGCCCGCACAAGCGGUGGAGUAUGUGGUUUAAUUCGAUGCAACGCGAAGAACCUUACCAGGGUUUGACAUCCUGCGAAUCUCUUGGAAACAGGAGAGUGCCUUCGGGAACGCAGUGACAGGUGGUGCAUGGCUGUCGUCAGCUCGUGUCGUGAGAUGUUGGGUUAAGUCCCGCAACGAGCGCAACCCACGUCUUUAGUUGCCAGCAUUUAGUUGGGCACUCUAGAGAGACUGCCGGUGACAAACCGGAGGAAGUGGGGACGACGUCAAGUCAUCAUGGCCCUUACGGCCUGGGCUACACACGUGCUACAAUGGCUAGGACAGACGGCCGCAAACCCGCGAGGGGAGCCAAUCCGACAAACCUAGUCGUAG